GUGGGGAAUAUUGGGCAAUGGGCGAAAGCCUGACCCAGCAACGCCGCGUGAAGGAAGAAGGUUUUCGGAUCGUAAACUUCUAUCCUUGGUGAGGGUAAUGACGGUAGCCAAGAAGGAAGCCCCGGCUAACUACGUGCCAGCAGCCGCGGUAAUACGUAGGGGGCAAGCGUUGUCCGGAAUGAUUGGGCGUAAAGGGCGCGUAGGCGGCCCGGUAAGUCUGAAGUGAAAGUCCUGCUUUUAAGGUGGGAAUUGCUUUGGAUACUGUCGGGCUUGAGUGCAGGAGAGGUAAGCGGAAUUCCCGGUGUAGCGGUGAAAUGCGUAGAGAUCGGGAGGAACACCAGUGGCGAAGGCGGCUUACUGGACUGUAACUGACGCUGAGGCGCGAAAGUGUGGGGAGCAAACAGGAUUAGAAACCCUGGUAGUCC
rnacentral:rRNA from 1 species